AAAUAAACCGAAGAGUGUUUCAGGGGUUUAUGAAAACCUCUCUAUACUCUAACUCUUAUAUUACUGAUUGAGUGAUUUGAACUCCAAACAGCUCCCAAGGCAGCAAACAACUGGUAUGCCAGCCCAUGCUGCUGCAGGCAAAGCACUGGCCCAGAUGACUGAAGCGGACUGUCGCUCCUGGAUUGAGUCCAUUCAGUUACCAAAGUAUGUCAAGACAUUUUCUGACAGUUCCGUUUAUGGCCCAAUGCUAGAAGCAUUUAUCCAUCCACAAUUUGGAAGGCAACUACUCAUGUCAACUGGGAUAUCAGAAGAGGACUGUAUCUCUCUGGUACCAGAGAUCUACAGAUUGAAAGCUCGUGGGUUUAACAGGUCGUCUGCAAUCUCAGUUUAGUGCAUGUCAUUAGAAUGUAAUGCAACUCAUCUCACUGUACAUGCUUGUGUGAUUUACUUUACAUUUGAGGUCAUCUACAAGUACUGUAAAUGUUAAUGUUUGGAUCUGCCAAUACUGCUUACAUUUUAACCUAUUAUACAUAUUAUAAAAGGGUAGUUUACAUUUCUUGUUGAGUUCUAUGCAGGCUAAACGUAUCCACAGUCAAGGACAUUGUUUCUGCAAACUUCGGAGGAAAGCUGAAAAAAAAAGAUGUUGUUUGUUAUGUUUUUUUUUUGUUAUUUUUUUUUUUUGUUCAUCCUUAUGUUCAGGAUGGAAGCUCCUAUAGGUACAAUACAAUAUAGGUACUGCUAUAGGGAUUAUGGUCCUUUCAACAUUAGUUUGCAAUGUUUAUACUUUCAGAUGCAUCCAAUACUAAUGAAUUGCACUGAUGUGGAUCUUGAAAACAUGUAAUUAAACAAAGCUUGUGUACAAGCAGUUUUUCAAAUUUAAGGAAUAAUGUGAUUAAAAUGAUUUCUUGUUUGAUUGAUGUCUGUACUAAAAAAUAACAUUUGACUAUUCUAUAAAUAAACUGUUGCUUUUAUGCUUACAUUAAACAGUGCCAUUUCAAAA